rnacentral:rRNA from 1 species
GACGAACCGUGCGAACGUUGUUCGGAAUCACUGGGCUUAAAGGGCGCGUAGGCGGCGGGUCAAGUCCGGGGUGAAAUCUUUCAGCUCAACUGGAAAAGUGCCCUGGAUACUGACUUGCUCGAGGGAGGUAGGGGUUGGUGGAACUUCCGGUGGAGCGGUGAAAUGCGUAGAUAUCGGAAGGAACGCCGGUGGCGAAAGCGACCAACUGGACCUCUUCUGACGCUGAGGCGCGAAAGCUAGGGGAGCAAACAGG